rnacentral:rRNA from 1 species
GGGCUUCGCAGGCGGUUUUUUAAGUUCUGAAUGUGAAAGCCCCCGGCUCAACCGGGGAGGGUCAUUGGAAACUGGGGAACUUGAGUGCAGAAGAGGAGAGUGGAAUUCCACGUGUAGCGGUGAAAUGCGUAGAGAUGUGGAGGAACACCAGUGGCGAAGGCGACUCUCUGGUCUGUAACUGACGCUGAGGAGCGAAAGCGUGGGGAGCGAACAGGAUUAGAUACCCUGGUAGUCCACGCCGUAAACGAUGAGUGCUAAGUGUUAGGGGGUUUCCGCCCCUUAGUGCUGCAGCUAACGCAUUAAGCACUCCGCCUGGGGAGUACGGUCGCAAGACUGAAACUCAAAGGAAUUGACGGGGGCCCGCACAAGCGGUGGAGCAUGUGGUUUAAUUCGAAGCAACGCGAAGAACCUUACCAGGUCUUGACAUCCUCUGACAAUCCUAGAGAUAGGACGUCCCCUUCGGGGGCAGAGUGACAGGUGGUGCAUGGUUGUCGUCAGCUCGUGUCGUGAGAUGUUGGGUUAAGUCCCGCAACGAGCGCAACCCUUGAUCUUAGUUGCCAGCAUUCAGUUGGGCACUCUAAGGUGACUGCCGGUGACAAACCGGAGGAAGGUGGGGAUGACGUCAAAUCAUCAUGCCCCUUAUGACCUGGGCUACACACGUGCUACAAUGGACAGA